rnacentral:lncRNA from 1 species
CAUCAACAGCGUAUUCGUCCGCUACUUUGUGGCGGUAUGAUAGUUGGCAUUCAUUUUCACUAUUUUACUGUGGAUUAUUCGAUCUUCUGUUCUCAUCACGACACCCGACGUGUACUGUGUGCAUGUAACAUAUCUCACAGCCGCUGCGGACAAGUUCAUUGAACUGUCGUGUUGUAGUGCGUCUUGCCUCAACGUGCUAACGCGACGUGCUGUCAUCGACUGGGUGCGCUUGCAUGUCGCCGACCGGCACCAACUUGCAGGGCAGCAGGUCGUCAAUGACGGCAAGGGCGACCCAUUCUUUGUUCAUGUAUGAAAUCAGGCCACAACAACAUGACGGCGCCACAACAGAAUGGAAACAAGAAAAGCAAGAUGGCACAUGCGAGUUGCCUUGUGGUGGCGUCCCAGUGACGUGGACGAUGCCGGGAGAAAUCACUCAACAGCACAGUCGGGUGACCAGGCCCGAGGGAUGACCUGCCUGAUGCGGCAACAGCACGCAACGCCCGGGCUGCUGCGACAGCUCCGACGUGGAACUCAACUAGGGGCAGUGGACAGAGGCACAAGACCAAACGGAUUGGAGGACAUUCGCAUAGCUGUGAUUACUGCCCGUACAGGACGUAUUACAAGUCUCACCUGGAAAGACACAUUCGGACUCACACAGGAGAGAAACCCUACGCAUGUCACCUUUGCCAGUCGGCAUUUUCGGAUCCCAGUGCCUACAGUCGUCACAUGCGAGGACACAUCGAUGAAUCAAACGCUCCACCUGGGUCAUUUACAUGUGGUCCGUAUUAGUCAUCAGGCAUUCAAGACAGGCUUUGUGAGACAACAGACGCCCAACCUGGUGAGAGAUGAACCUCGUCUGCUCAGCGGUUCUGAGAUUUCCUGCCUGUGCUGACACGUGGGUGAAUAUCUUGAAGAAGGUCAGCCUUGCCAUGGCAGUCAGCACUCAAGUGAAAGAAGACUUUUUGAGUGAGUAGCUAAGUUGGCAGUUGAAAUGUGGAAGUAGUGUGGAUUUCAAUGAUACAGCAUCGGAAUGAUGAAUUCGGAGUUGGAGCUUACUCAGACACAUGUGAAGAUGCCGCCUCCUUGCACUUUAUAGACGACCAUCGACCGGGAUUGGUGAUUUCUCACGAUGAACUGCAGCUGCGUGUUUUAGGCAACUGUAUCUGGCACUUGCUGGAUAUCUGUGCUACAGUAUGAUGCUGUGGCAGCGAGCGGUAUGUACCUUUCCUGGAGGCGUUCCCAUUCGAGCUUGCGUAGUGGUGCUGCCAGAAUGAAGCAGGGAAUCAAGUUCCGGAAGAGAGACGAGCCACUCGUGUGCCGCCAAUGCCCAUACCAGACAUGGCACAAGUCCAAUUUUGUGCGACACAAGCGGAUUCACACGGGAGAAAAGCCAUACGCAUGUCACCUGUGCCCGAUGGCGUUUUCUGACUGCAGCUCCUAUAAUCGGCAUGUUCGGAGCCAUUCCUCAUAUUUAUAGUCUGUGUAUAUAUGAAGCACGAAAUUUUCAGCAAAGCUUGCUAGAGCGAACUCUGUGGCUAGUCUACGAGUGUGGUGUUUUGGCAGCAUGGGAAUGAUAGUUAGUACAUGGACUUGCCUAACAUUUGCCCUGGCAUUAGAUAGCUUUAUAAUUCUGUGAAUUCAUCGUUUUCAACAAAACAAUGCAUUGUAUAUGCAGCCAUUUGCAAUGAUUAUAGAUGUUCGAAUGAACAAGGGCGUGACGUGUUUAGAAAAAAUAUUUUUUUUUUCUCCAACACAUUGAGAGGUGAAGUAUAACAAAUAAUGCCACAAAAGAAGUCUGAAGCCAUAAGCACAAAGUACUCGCCUAAUACUCAUCAUCACAUGAUAGCUGAAUGAUCUCAUUGCUAUGCGCUAGUAAUAUUCCUGGGAAACUGAAACAGGGGGGGAAUUAUAGAUUAUCCCACUAAGAGCUCUUAGAGAUAAAUCGGGUGUUGCUUGCAGUCGUUCAACCAUUGUGCAGAGACAUUAAAAUCGGCUGCAGAGUGAAUAUAUUAGGAACUCCAUCAAAAGUUUGUUAUAAUUUGGCAGCCUCAAAACCACCUGUUAAAGAGCUGGAAAAAAUGCUGAGAUGAUGCCAUAUUAUAAAAAAUUAGGUUGACAGAGCUUAAGGCGCAUUCGUACGUGGAAUUUUCUUUUCUUGUACUGUUAGGUUGCCAUGAAUGAAUGAAUGAAUGUGAUAAGUCCACAUGUGAUAAUUUUAAAACGUCAUAGGUCCUUGAGUAAGAUCUCGGCGUGUCCCGCACUGCGAAUAUAUAGCUUACAAUCUGGUGUAAAUGGUUAGCGCAGGCGGUGCCAUGCACUCAGUAGUGCGGUA